CCAGCUUUUAUGAACAAGUUCAUGACCCUAAAUAAGGAAAUGUCAUAAAAUUUCAUGAAGAAAAAGAUAGGUUAACCAGUAUUUUGGUCAACACAAAAACAGAAAUGGGUCAAAUUGACCCUUAACAUAAUACAAGGGUUAAAU